UACGUAGGGUGCGAGCGUUGUCCGGAAUUAUUGGGCGUAAAGGGCUCGUAGGCGGUCUGUCACGUCGGGAGUGAAAACUCAGGGCUUAACCCUGAGCCUGCUUCCGAUACGGGCAGACUAGAGGUAUGCAGGGGAGAACGGAAUUCCUGGUGUAGCGGUGAAAUGCGCAGAUAUCAGGAGGAACACCGGUGGCGAAGGCGGGUUGCUGGGCCGACACUGACGCUGAUGCGCGAAAGCCAGGGGAGCGAACGGG
rnacentral:rRNA from 1 species